rnacentral:lncRNA from 10 species
UGCCAGCAGAUCUUCUCUGCAAGAAAUGUUAUAAGAAAAUCUUCAGAGAGAAGGACAAUGCUGUAGGUCAGAAACUUGGAUCUACAUAAAGAAAUGAGGAGCAUCAGAGCAGUAAUGAAUGAAGUUGCUGGAACUACCUGGAUGAGACCAAGCCAUGCAGGAAGCUUCUCCUCAUGCUCUGACCAGAAUUCUCAAUGGUGCCUGGAUUUCCAAAUGCUCUGGUUGCACUCAAGGGUGUGAGGCCUGGGGCUUUUGGUUUCAAGUGAUAGAAACACAAUGCAAAGUAAAAAUAAACACGAAGCAUAAAGACGGCACACAUUGGCAUUUUCGACAGAACAGUCUGGUGAGAGGGCUCAGCCUGGGCUGACCUCAUGGCUUCUGGCUGCUGCCUCUCCUACCUUGUGCUCAGGCCCCCACCUCUGUGAGGGCAGCUCCAAG